GCAAGAUACCACGGGCGCACGGCGGAUGCCUUGGCACAGGGAGCCGAUGAAGGACGCGGCAAGCUGCGAUAAUCCCCGGCGAGGAGCACACAUCCUUCGACCCGGGGGUCUCCGAAUGGGCGAACCCAUCCGUAGCAGUACGGAUAUCCCCCCGCUGAACACAUAGGCGGGGGGAGGACAACCCGGGGAACUGAAACAUCUAAGUACCCGGAGGAGAGGAAAUCAAUCUCGAGACUCCCCGAGUAGCGGCGAGCGAAAGGGGACCGAUGGCCAAACCGUCGAGCGGGCAUACCCGGCAGGGGUUCCGCCGACGGGGUUGCAGGGCCGCGCAUCCGGGGGCUGCCGCCCCCGGGCGCAGGUCCGGCUGGGGAGCGGAACGGCAUGGGAGGGCCGGCCGCAGCGGGUGACAGCCCCGUACGCGAACCCAGACCGGACGGCGCGACGCGGUCCCUGAGUAGGGCCGGGCACGUGAAACCCGGUCCGAACCUGGGUGGACCACCAUCCAAGCCUGAGUACUACCCUGUGACCGAUAGCGCACCAGUACCGUGAGGGAAAGGUGAAAAGCACCCCGGGAGGGGAGUGAAACAGUACCUGAAACCGUGCGCCCACGAGCAGUCGGAGCACCUUUAUGGUGUGACGGCGUGCCUUUUGUAGAAUGAGCCAGCGAGUCGCUGGCGCGGGGCGAGGUUAACCGAAAGGGAGCCGGAGCGAAAGCGAGCCUUAACAGGGCGACUUGAGUCCCGCACCGCGGACGCGAAGCCGGGUGAGCUAUCCGUGGGCAGGCUGAAGCGGGGGUAAGACCCCGUGGAGGGCCGAACGCACGUCGGUUGAAAACGGCGGCGAUGACCUGCGGAUAGGGGUGAAAGGCCAAUCAAACCCGGAGAUAUCUCGUUCUCCCCGAAAUAGCUUUAGGGCUAGCGUCGCGCGUUCACCGCCGGAGGUAGAGCACCGGAUGGACGAGGGGGCUUCGCCGCCUACCGAAUCCAACCGAACUCCGAAUGCCGGCGGCCCAGAGCGCGGCAGUCAGAGCAUGUGGGCUAAGCUGUGUGCUCGAGAGGGAAACAGCCCGGACCGCCCGCUAAGGUCCCCAAGUUCCAGCCGAGUGGCAAAGGAUGUGCGUCCGCCCAGACAACCAGGAUGUUGGCUUAGAAGCAGCCAUCCAUUCAAAGAGUGCGUAACAGCUCACUGGUCGAGUGGACAUGCGCCGACAAUACACGGGGCUAAGCUGGACACCGAAGCGGCGGGAUUUUAAUUCAUUAGAAUCGGUAGGGGAGCUUCCCAUGGGCGGAGAAGCCGGAGGGCGACCGACGGUGGAGCGCAUGGGAGUGAGAAUGCUGGCAUGAGUAGCGAGAGACGAGAGAGUAACUCGUCCGCCGUGAACCCGAGGUUUCCUGGGCAAGGCUAAUCCUCCCAGGGUCAGUCGGGGGCUAAGGCGAGGCCGGGAGGCGUAGCCGACGCGCAGCAGGCAGACAUUCCUGCACCGCGCACGCGGCGCUACGACCGACGGGGCGACGGAUGGGGGUGGCUCGGCGGGGUUCUGGACGUCCCCGUGAUGGAGCGCGGCCCGCGGACCAGGGAAAUCCGGUCCGCAUCAAGGGCGAGGCUCCGGACGAAGCGACUGAGCGAAGCGAGUGAGCCCGAGGUCCCUAGAAAAACCCCUAGGCAGGCGCGUGCGCGCCCGUACCGCAAACCGACACAGGUGGGUGGGUAGAACAUACCGAGGCGAUCGGGUCAACCAUGGUCAAGGAACUCGGCACAAUGGCCCCGUAACUUCGGGAGAAGGGGUGCCCGCGCGUACGUGAACGGACUUGCUCCGGGAGCGGAGGCGGGCCGCAGUGGAGAGGCCCAAGCGACUGUUUACCAAAAACACAGGACUCUGCAGAAGCCGCAAGGCGACGUAUAGGGUCUGACGCCUGCCCGGUGCCGGAAGGUCACGCGGAGGAGUUAGCGCAUCGCGCGAAGCCCCGAAGCCAAGCCCCGGUAAACGGCGGCCGUAACUAUAACGGUCCUAAGGUAGCGAAAUUCCUUGUCGGGUAAGUUCCGACCUGCACGAAAGGCGCAACGACUUGGGCGCUGUCUCGACCAUGGACCCGGUGAAAUUGCACUGGUCGUGAAGAUGCGACUUACCCGCGGAAGGACGGAAAGACCCCGUGAACCUUCACUGCAGCUU
rnacentral:rRNA from 1 species